rnacentral:rRNA from 1 species
CGGGUAGCUAUGUUCGGAAGAGAUAAACGCUGAAAGCAUCUAAGCGUGAAACUCGCCUUAAGAUAAGAUUUCCCGGAGUCUUGAACUCCUUAAAGGGUCGUCGAAGACCACGACGUUGAUAGGUCAGGUGUGGAAGCGCAGUAAUGCGUUAAGCUAACUGAUACUAAUUGCCCGUACGGCUUGAUCCU